AACGAACGCUGGCGGCAGGCUUAACACAUGCAAGUCGAACGCCCCGCAAGGGGAGUGGCAGACGGGUGAGUAACACGUGGGGAUCUGCCCAAUGGUACGGAAUAAUUCCGGGAAACUGGGACUAAUACCGUAUGUGCCCGCAAGGGGUAAGAUUUAUCGCCAUUGGAUGAACCAGCGUCGGAUUAGAUGGUUGGUGAGGUAAAGGCUCACCAAGGCGACGAUCAGUAGGUGGUUUGAGGGUAUGAUCAGCCACACUGGGACUGAGACACGGCCCAGACUCCUACGGGAGGCAGCGGUGGGGAAUAUUGGACAAAGGGCGCAACCCUGAUCCAGCCAUGCCGCGUGAGUAAUGAAGGCAUUAGGGUUGUAAAGCUCUUUCGCCGACGAAGAUAAUGACGGUAGUCGGAGAAGAAGUCCCGGCUAACUUCGGGCCAGCCGCCGCAGUAACAC
rnacentral:rRNA from 1 species